rnacentral:rRNA from 1 species
UACGGAGGGGGCUAGCGUUGUCCGGAUUUACUGGGCGUAAAGAGCGCGCAGGCGGUCGUGCAAGUCGCGUGUGAAAGCCCCCGGCUCAACUGGGGAGGGUCACGCGAUACUGCUCGACUCGAAGGCAGGAGAGGGAUGCAGAAUUCCCGGUGUAGCGGUGAAAUGUGUAGAGAUCGGGAGGAACACCGGUGGCGAAGGCGGGUCUCUGGGCAUCUCCUGACGCUGAGGCGCGAAAGCGUGGGGAGCAAACGGG